GUCUGCAGCCACACCACCCUAAAUGCACCCGAUCUUGUCUGAUCUUGGAAGCUAAGCUGUGUUGGGCCUGGUUAGUACUGGGAUGGGAGAACUGAUGUGAAAAGGAAACAAAGUAGGGU
ensembl:rRNA 5S_rRNA 5S ribosomal RNA